rnacentral:rRNA from 1 species
CCUACGGGAGGCAGCAGUGGGGAAUAUUGCACAAUGGGGGAAACCCUGAUGCAGCGACGCCGCGUGAGUGAAGAAGUAUUUCGGUAUGUAAAGCUCUAUCAGCAGGGAAGAAAUACUGACCUUACGGUCAGCAGACGGUACCUGACUAAGAAGCCCCGGCUAACUACGUGCCAGCAGCCGCGGUAAUACGUAGGGGGCAAGCGUUAUCCGGAUUUACUGGGUGUAAAGGGAGCGUAGACGGCAGCGCAAGUCUGAAGUGAAAUCCCAUGGCUUAACCAUGGAACUGCUUUGGAAACUGUGCGGCUGGAGUGCAGGAGAGGUAAGCGGAAUUCCUAGUGUAGCGGUGAAAUGCGUAGAUAUUAGGAGGAACACCAGUGGCGAAGGCGGCUUACUGGACUGUAACUGACGUUGAGGCUCGAAAGCGUGGGGAGCAAACAGGAUUAGAUACCCCAGUAGUC